rnacentral:rRNA from 1 species
AUGGCCGGCUCCGGCGGCUCUCCCGACGCCGACGAUCCCAAUUGCGGCGGAGCUGGGGCUGAGCCCUCCAGGACUCCUCAAGAAUCCGACGACCUCUACUCCGCGCCCGCCUCCCUUCUCAGCACUCGCCCGUCCGGUCAGCCCCCGGGGACUUCGGUCGUCGCCAACGAGGGCUCCGCCUCGUCCUCCGCCUGGGGAUCUGAUGACGACGACGAGCCCACAGACAGGUACAAGAACCCCGCGGGACCGUCGAGCAGAACCAUGGGAGCGUCAUCCUCCUCCUCCUUCUCCUCGGACAGCUGGAUCGGCAGCGACCGUACGUGCGGCGGCGCCUCGACCUCCAGCUCUCUGGACGCCUCCAACUACAGGGAUCUCUACAGGGAUCCACCCUCUGAGUGGAUGUAUAAUCAGAUUCUGGAAGCUCCUUUUUGGAGUCACGAGGCAUGUGAUGCUGUGAGGGCUUCUUGGAGAAACGAGUACGAGGCUUGUGAUGAUUUUUCUAUGGUUUUGCAGACAUCACAAAAUGGCUGCAAAAAAAUUCUUCAAAAGGAACCUUUAUCAUCUCUACCGCAUGAGUUUGAAAACGAAAUUAUGAAAGAUAAGGCAAAAAAGCUUUCGGCUAAUUACUCUGAAUAUCGGAAAGUACCUGGAGACGGGAGUUGCUUUUACAGAUCGUUCAUAUACUCAUACUGUACACUACUUGUGAAAGUAUCUCACGAGGAGGAGCUACGUUUACUUGGUGCACUUGAACCUAUGUGGGAGAAGUUCCAAAGGCUUCAUUUGCCCGGUUCAUAUUCAGAUCUUCGUGAUGCUUUUGUGGGCUUUAUACAGGAAUGUAUGGAACAAAAACAAAAACUGUCAGUAAGUGCCUAUCAGGAGUGGCUUUUCCAGGAGAGUCAAAAUGAGCAGAAGUUUGUGAACAGUGAGAAUAUACACCAAUUUUCUUAG